rnacentral:rRNA from 1 species
ACACAUGCAGUCGAGGGGUAACAGAUCUUCGGAUGCUGACGACCGGCGAACGGGUGAGUAACACGUAUGCAACUUACCCAUAACUCGGGAAUAGCCCAAAGAAAUUUGGAUUAAUACCCAAUAAUACAGGCGUACCGCAUGGUAUUCUUCGUUAAAGAAUAAUCGGUUAUGGAUAGGCAUGCGUUCUAUUAGGUAGUUGGUGAGGUAACGGCUCACCAAGCCGACGAUGGAUAGGGGAACUGAGAGGUUGUCCCCCCACACUGGUACUGAGACACGGACCAGACUCCUACGGGAGGCAGCAGUGAGGAAUAUUGGUCAAUGGACGAAAGUCUGAACCAGCCAAAUCGCGUGAAGGAAGAAGGUAUUAUGUAUCGUAAACUUCUUUUGUAAGAGAGUAAAGUGCACUACGUGUAGUGUAUUGCAAGUACCUUACGAAUAAGCAUCGGCUAAUUCCGUGCCAGCAGCCGCGGUAAUACGGAAGAUGCAAGUGUUAUCCGGAUUUAUUGGGUUUAAAGGGUGCGUAGGUGGUCUAAUAAGUCAGUGGUGAAAUCUCUUUGCUUAACAAGGAAAUUGCCAUUGAAACUGUUAGACUUGAGAAUGGACGAGGUAGGCGGAAUUCGUAGUGUAGCGGUGAAAUGCAUAGAUAUUACGAAGAACUCCAAUAGUGUAGACUGCUUACCAGACCAUAUCUGACACUAAGGCACGAAAGUGUGGGUAUCAAACAGGAUUAGAUACCCUGGUAGUCCACACAGUAAACGAUGAAUACUAACUGUUUGCGAUAUACAGCAAGUGGUCGAGCGAAAGCGUUAAGUAUUCCACCUGGGAAGUAUGCCGGCAACGGUGAAACUCAAAGGAAUUGACGGGGGCCCGCACAAGCGGAGGAACAUGUGGUUUAAUUCGAUAAUACGCGAGGAACCUUACCCGGGCUCGAACGAUAU